UACGGAGGGUGCAAGCGUUAUCCGGAUUCACUGGGUUUAAAGGGUGCGUAGGCGGAUAAGUAAGUCAGUGGUGAAAUCUCCGAGCUUAACUUGGAAACUGCCGUUGAUACUAUUUGUCUUGAAUAUUGUGGAGGUAAGCGGAAUAUGUCAUGUAGCGGUGAAAUGCUUAGAUAUGACAUAGAACACCAAUUGCGAAGGCAGCUUACUACACAAUGAUUGACGCUGAGGCACGAAAGCGUGGGGAUCAAACAGG
rnacentral:rRNA from 1 species